rnacentral:tRNA from 1 species
CGCGGGAUGGAGCAGUCCGGUAGCUCGUCAGGCUCAUAACCUGAAGGUCGCAGGUUCAAAUCCUGCUCCCGCAUCCA